UUUAGUUGGAUUUGCUCUAAGUUAGAAUUGAAAAGACGUACUAGAUUCUUUUGACACUCGAGUAUUGUUUUUUUUUUCUUUAAAUAUUUUGAUAGAUACCAUAAAUGUUUGGAUGAAGUGGUUCCUCUUCUUGGCUCCGCCUAUCUUUACUUGUGCUCGACAAUAUGAACAUACAUAAACAAACCAUAAAAUGAACCAAAUUGAACAUACACUAAUGCUCUCCCGUCACAUAUCCGAUUGGAUUCUAAUUUCAUUAUGUUGCCGACAAUCCAACAAGUCAGUGACAACUAGCAACACCAUAUACAUAGUAGAGGAAGAGAAGAAGUUGCAAGUCUUUCAUUUGUUUUUUUUUGUUUUUGUUUUUCUAUUUUUGUUGUUACUAACUUCUUUUAUAUAUAUUUUUGUACCUAAAAACGAAGAACUCUCUCUCUCUCUCUCUCUAAAACCCUAGGGAGCGCCGCUUCUCCUUUCUCGUCCUGUCCGGCUGCAACUCUGUACCAGUGAUGGCCUUUCACCUCGUCAAUGCAUGAGCAGUGCGGCUGGAUGGGAGUUAUUUGGUCGGCUAAUUCAGUCCAGGAGGCAUGAGUCUGGUUCCAGUUUUUGUUCGUGGUUAGUAGGAGUGUUUGGACUGUGGUGGGGAAGGGGAAUGGAGGCGGGUUUGGCUGGGAUCAGAGCCCGAUCGGCGUCGAGGCAUAGUGGAAGCGAUGGGUGUUGGUGGUUGGCUUGGUUGACGCGCUCGAUGGUCUUCCUCGGUCUGCUUGUUGUGCUCCGAUCUAGAGGCUGGCUGGGGGUGGACCAUCGCAAGUUGAGGUCGUCUUGAUGGCGGCAGUGACGGGUCGGUGGUGCUAAUCUGGAGCCGGUGGUGCAGCGGUGGUUGUGGUGACUGGGUGGUCUGAUGGGUCACUUCUUAGGCCGAGAGGGAAGACGGGGCUGCCUUUGUCUGUUGGGUUUGGGUGUAGCCUGAAGGUUCCAUAUUCAGCUGGAGGUUUGGCUAGGGUUUCUUUUCGGCCCUGGUUUUUCUUUUAUGCUUUUCAUUAUUGUUUUAGUUAUUAGUUAGACUACGGUUGCUUGCGGGUCUAAAACAUUUACUUAGUUAUUGGAUUUGACUUUUAAUUAGAGUUUGUUGAUGCUCUAAGGUUGCCUCCUCUGCGUAAGGUGGUCCCGGAAGUAGUCAAAUAAUGAUAGGUAGUGGAUUUGUCCCUUCCUCCUUGUGUCUCGGUGGCUGAUUGCUUGUCCCGUUUGCUACCACGGAAGAUUGAUCAUAACGCUUUAUCCCAUGGUCUUCAGCAUAAAUAUUACUUAGUGUCUACUAGGUAGUUUCGCAAGAUAGCCCCUGUGGGCGGAUUAUGUUUAUGUUGUUAUACUUACUCUCAAAUUGUGAUCAAUAAAAAUUAACGUCAUUAGAUAAAAAAAUAAGGGAAAAUACCCAUUUGCACAUAAUCAAGAAUUUUAAAGCCUAUUUGAAUGAAAAAAGUUUUUCAUAGCCCAUACCAAUGAAAUUUAACAAAAAGACGAUUUUACCCAUUGAAUUUAUAAAUUCUCUCACGUCUCAUUCUCAUCCUUCUCUCUCUCUCUCUCAAACCUAACGUUGACGACGACUGUGUCCUUGUUCUUCGGCACCGACCGCGACGGCAAGAUCAGCAAGGACGAGCAAUCAAAUCCGGCUAUCUCGACGAGUCUCGCAUCAGAUCUGAUCAAGUAGAUCCGGUAAAACCGAGUCCAUGGUGCGACUGGCAAUUUCAAACGAAGGAGCGCGUGAGGGUUACUAGCUAGAAUUGUUGGAGCACCCGUCGGUGUCUACUUGCGGUGGUUUUGAGAUUUGGUUCUUCCGGUGAGAAGAUUCGAAGGUUUGGAAUCCAGAUCGGGUUUUGGUUGCGUCCUCCAACCUCGUCCUAUUGUGGUUAUUUGUUUUGGCCGGGUGUUCUUUUAAUUUUUUGUCAAUUGCUAGGUUUUGGUUGGGUUGUCAGUGCAAAUUAUUAGGGGUAGUAAACUGUGGUGGUAGUGAGGGCGUGACGUCCGCAAAUUGGGAGGUUUUCUCCUUGAUUCUUGAUAGUCAACACUAGUGUUAGGAGACGUGUAUUGUGUAGGUGCAUGCCUUUCAUAAUUUUCAACGGCGUUGUGUAUUCAUAUGAGAUAGGUGUAAAGCUACAAUGUGUUGCUCAUGUGUCAUUUGUGUACAUUAAUAUGCCUUUCACAAUUCCUACCUUUCUUUUCUGUUGGACAUUCUUUGUUUCUUGUAUUUUAAAUGAUUAUUGGCUCACUAAAUUGGGUUAACCAUUUAUUACUGGUGGUCAAUAAUUUAUUAUUAGGAGUCGGUAACAUGUUUAUUACCGGUGGCUCCCGAAGCUAUUCGUUGGUGUGAGGAUUUUUCCUUGCAGUACUCCUUAGCUUGAUUAUUCGUGUUGUAGUUUUGACUGAUUAUUGGCGGCCAAUAACUCGAUUAUGUUUUGGUAUUUCUUCUUUUCUAUUACAAUAAGUUUGAUUAUUGGGGGUCAAUAACCCAGUUAUUGGGGGUCAAUAACUGAUUAUUAGGGGCAGUAACCAAGUUAUGGGUCAGUAACUGAGUUACAGGUGACAGGAAUCCGGCGACUGGAGAAAAUUUGAGUUACUAGGGGUUAGUAAUUGAUUAUUGGGGGUCAGUAACCAAGUUAUUGGGGGUCAGUAACUGAUUACUGGGGGUCAGUAACUGAGUUACCGGUGACCGGAAUCUGCGACCGGAAUCUGACGACUGGAGAAAUCCGGCAACCGGUGACCGUAGUCCGGCGGCCGGUGACCAGAGUCCGACGGCCGGUGACUGGAGUCCGGUGACAUUCCGGCCAAAUAUUCUCUCUUCCAUUUUCUCUCUCUAUGCAUGUUUAAGGGGUGAGGGCAAAAUAGUCUUAAAAUAAUAUAGUUUGUUAAGACUUUAGUAAAGAUUUGUGCAUUUGAGCAUAAAAGAGGUUACCUUAUAUUGAAAUGGGCUAAUGAAAAAGAUUAUCAUUGGAAUGAGGAAUGAGGGGUUUAAAUUAGUACUAAAUGGGCAUUUUCCCAAAAAAUAAAAAUAAAAAACUUCUUUUAUAUGUUUUCUUAAGACUGCUCCCUAACCCAUGUUUGUUACACGGGACACUGUAACCCAGGCUUAAAUUCUAAUAUAGUCUAACACUACUUAAGCCAGGCUUAUUUUUCAAUAAUCCUAACCCAUGUUUAGUGUCACUUAGGACUAAAAAGCAUAAUAACAGUAUACUUCUGACAAUGCAGCCUCUCCAUGCUUCCUAAAACAGCCUCUCCAUCGAAUUUCAUCACCACCUCCUAUUUUCUUUAAAACUGAAUGUGGAAUUGUUGAAAAUAAAGAAAAUUAGAAGGCACAAACAGAGGGCAUAAACAGAUGGUUUUACCAUGCAACAACGCAUUGGCUUUACCAUGAUUGCUUUUGUGUUGUCUGCCAAUUCGCUCACAAUAUCUGUUUCUUGACAUGCUGUAGACCAUGAGUCGGGAUUGAGUCCAAACUCUGAGAAACAAUACCAGCUGAAAUUAUAUUUGUGGACAUAAGAAGAACAAAUACUUCUAAAGCUAGAUACAAGGUAGCACCUAUACACUUUCAAUUUAAUCAACUCCAGAUAUCAAAUAGUGAGCAGAUCACAUGCUUGAUCAUAAAAUUUAUAUCAUCAGAUAGAAUUUAUAGAGAGAGAAGCACAAACGUUUCAGAGAAAAAAAAAAGACCCAGGCAUAAAAUUGAUCAAAUUCUGAGCAGAUGAAGCAAGCCAUACACCAAAUCCUCAAUCAAUUUGUGAAAUAAUCACAGCCCAUAAACAAAUGACAAUAGAUCAUCACUUCCUAGUCUUUAGUAAAACGAAUGACACAGACAAAGAAGAAGGUAGAGUGGGUUGAAGGAGAUAUUGAACAAUAAUCAACACAAGACAGAGAGUGUGAGAAACGAGAGAAACUAAACCUGAAAUCUUCUCGCCCAAGAAGACUAAAGCGAAAGAAACCAAUGAAUGAGAGUGAGACGAUGAGGCUGCUGCCGAGAACGAGCAAGAACAACAUUUCAGCGUUGUGCAGUCCUAUGAAUUUUGGGGCCGCUAUGUAAGGAGGCAUGGAGAGCGUUGGGGACUACGUAUGCUCAUUUAAUAUAGUCCCUAGUGGUGCCAAAUGUGGGACAACACCUGUUUUUUUACGUAAGCCAGUCCAGUCCAGUCUUAUCCCCCGUAACAAACAUGCACUAAGGGACAAUUUUUAAGGGAAUGUGAUGGAUAAGUAGAUUUAACGGUUCAAAAUAAAUCCACAAUUUUAAGUUGUAUUAUUUCUGUUUUUAUAUUUAAUACAUGUGGUUGAGAUGCAUUUGUCCCUCACUCUCUCUUAAAACUGUCCCUCAUGUGUGCAAGCCUUAUUUUUUCUUAUAGUGUUGCGCUGAUCGUAUUUACCGAUCAAUUUCAUUAGUACUUUUGUUACUUUUAUUUAUUUUUCCGGUUUAUCAUCUAAAUUAUUAGUUUUUGAAACUUUAUUCAAAGCAGAGUCAUGGCUUCUCUCCUCUAUUGACUAGCAUUUUUUCACAAAAUAUUGCUUCUCAUGCAACGCAUGCAACUCUCGAAAACAACGUUUAAUCCUUGGUGUCGUAUAUCAUGUUUUGGCAACUGUCUAGCGUCUUGGAUACCCAGAAAUUGAGCCCCUCAUAUAG
rnacentral:lncRNA from 1 species